CCCCCCUGGCAAUGGGCAAAGAGACACCUGAUUGGUGGCAUUGCUCUUAUAUCAGUCAGGGGCAAAGAAGAUGUCCAGCCCUUUGUUCAUCCUAGCUUGAUGCCUGGACUGGUGGCCAGAGCUGUUUCAUGCCUGAGGAACAUAA
rnacentral:snoRNA from 2 species